AGUGAACGCUGGCGGUAGGCCUAACACAUGCAAGUCGAACGGCGGCACAGGAGAGCUUGCUCUCUGGGUGGCGAGUGGCGGACGGGUGAGGAAUACAUCGGAAUCUACCUUUUCGUGGGGGAUAACGUAGGGAAACUUACGCUAAUACCGCAUACGACCUACGGGUGAAAGUGGGGGACCGCAAGGCCUCACGCGAUUAGAUGAGCCGAUGUCCGAUUAGCUAGUUGGCGGGGUAAUGGCCCACCAAGGCGACGAUCGGUAGCUGGUCUGAGAGGAUGAUCAGCCACACUGGAACUGAGACACGGUCCAGACUCCUACGGGAGGCAGCAGUGGGGAAUAUUGGACAAUGGGCGCAAGCCUGAUCCAGCCAUACCGCGUGGGUGAAGAAGGCCUUCGGGUUGUAAAGCCCUUUUGCUGGGAAAGAAAUCCUGUCGAUUAAUACUCGGUGGGGAUGACGGUACCCAAAGAAUAAGCACCGGCUAACUUCGUGCCAGCCGCCGCGGUAA
rnacentral:rRNA from 1 species